rnacentral:rRNA from 1 species
UACAGAGGUGGCAAGCGUUGUUCGGAAUUACUGGGCGUAAAGCGCGCGUAGGCGGCUUUGCAAGCCGGAUGUGAAAUCCCCGGGCUUAACCUGGGAAUUGCAUUCGAGACUGCAUUGCUGGAGUACGGAAGAGGAAGGCGGAAUUCCCGGUGUAGCGGUGAAAUGCGUAGAUAUCGGGAGGAACAUCAGUGGCGAAGGCGGCCUUCUGGUCCAGUACUGACACUCAAGUGCGAAAGCGUGGGGAGCAAACAGG